UACGGGGGGAGCAAGCGUUGUUCGGAUUUACUGGGCGUAAAGGGCGCGUAGGCGGCCACCGCAAGUCGACUGUGAAAUCUCUGGGCUUAACCCAGAACGGUCAGCCGAUACUGCGGGGCUAGAGUGCAGAAGGGGCAACUGGAAUUCUCGGUGUAGCGGUGAAAUGCGUAGAUAUCGGGAGGAACACCAGUGGCGAAGGCGGCUUCCUGGCCUGUUCUUGACGCUGAGGCGCGAAAGCUAGGGGAGCAAACGGG
rnacentral:rRNA from 1 species